rnacentral:rRNA from 1 species
GUGGGGAAUUUUGGACAAUGGGGGCAACCCUGAUCCAGCCAUGCCGCGUGAGUGAAGAAGGCCUUCGGGUUGUAAAGCUCUUUCGGCCGGAACGAAAUCGGCGGGGUGAAUAAUCCCGCUGGAUGACGGUACCGGAAGAAGAAGCACCGGCUAACUACGUGCCAGCAGCCGCGGUAAUACGUAGGGUGCGAGCGUUAAUCGGAAUUACUGGGCGUAAAGCGUGCGCAGGCGGCCUCUUAAGACAGGUGUGAAAUCCCCGAGCUUAACUUGGGAAUGGCGCUUGUGACUGGGGGGCUUGGAGUGCGGAAGAGGGAGAUGGAAUUCCUGGUGUAGCAGUGAAAUGCGUAGAGAUCAGGAGGAACACCGAUGGCGAAGGCAGUCUCCUGGGCCAGCACUGACGCUCAUGCACGAAAGCGUGGGGAGCAAACAGGAUUAGAAACCCUAGUAGUCC